AACCCAACUACAUGAAGCUGGAAUCGCUAGUAAUCGCGGAUCAGAAUGCCGCGGUGAAUACGUUCCCGGGUCUUGUACACACCGCCCGUCACACCAUGGGAGCCGGGAAUGCCCGAAGUCGGUGACCUAACCGAAAGGAAGGAGCCGCCGAAGGCAGGUCUGGUAACUGGGGUGAAGUCGUAACAAGGUACC
rnacentral:rRNA from 1 species